rnacentral:rRNA from 1 species
GACGAACGCUGGCGGCGUGCUUAACACAUGCAAGUCGAACGCUGAAGCUCAGCUUUUGUUGGGUGGAUGAGUGGCGAACGGGUGAGUAACACGUGAGUAACCUGCCUCCUUCUUUGGGAUAACGCCCGGAAACGGGUGCUAAUACUGGAAAUUCACUGGUCUUCGCAUGGGGGUUGGUGGAAAGGGUUUUUCUGGUGGGGGAUGGGCUCGCGGCCUAUCAGCUUGUUGGUGGGGUGAUGGCCUACCAAGGCUUUGACGGGUAGCCGGCCUGAGAGGGUGACCGGUCACAUUGGGACUGAGAUACGGCCCAGACUCCUACGGGAGGCAGCAGUGGGGAAUAUUGCACAAUGGGCGCAAGCCUGAUGCAGCGACGCCGCGUGAGGGAUGGAGGCCUUCGGGUUGUGAACCUCUUUCGCUCAUGGUCAAGCCGCAACAAUGGUUGUGGUGAGGGUAGUGGGUAAAGAAGCGCCGGCUAACUACGUG